GAAAGGGAACCUAGACACAGGUGCUGCAUGGCUGUCGUCAGCUCGUGUCGUGAGAUGUUGGGUUAAGUCCCGCAACGAGCGCAACCCUUGCCAUUAGUUGCGACAUUUUAGUUGAGCACUCUAAUGGGACCGCCGGUGACAAACCGGAGGAAGGUGGGGAUGACGUCAAGUCCUCAUGGCCCUUAUGGGUAGGGCUUCACACGUAAUACAAUGGUCGGUACAGAGGGCUGCCAACCCGCGAGGGGGAGCUAAUCCCAGAAAGCCGAUCGUAGUCCGGAUUGUAGUCUGCAACUCGACUGCAUGAAGCCGGAAUCGCUAGUAAUCGCGGAUCAGCAUGUCGCGGUGAAUACGUUCCCGGGUCUUGUACACACCGCCCGUCACACCAUGGGAGUGGGUUCCACCAGAAGUAGGUAGCCUAACCGCAAGGAGGGCGCUUACCACGGUGAGAUUCAUGACUGGGGUGAAGUCGUAACAAGGUAACC
rnacentral:rRNA from 1 species